UUUUGCUCUGGAAUGCAGAACCUUUUCACUGCUUCCAUGUGACUUAACUCCUGAGGUCCCUGAUGUGAAAUGUUUUAACACAGCUCCUGCUGCAGCAGAAAAGUUUGGAUUUACAAAUGUAAAAGCAGAGCUUUUCUUUUGGAAUUUAAAACCCUGCCAAGCAGGCUGGAAGGAAAGAAGAAAAGGAUUCAAAAUCCGCAGAAAUAUAAAGUGUCACUGCUGAAAGAGUUCAGCUACCAAUGGAAUCACCUGAGUGGCCAAGCUCUGCUGGAUGUCACCGAGGGUAUCACAGUGCUUGUGCAGGGGGUUCAUGCCAGGAGCCCUGAAGUCAUCCAGCGCGACGCCCUGCCUGUGCUCUGGUCCUUCCUGGGGA